UACGGAGUGUGCAAGCGUUACUCGGAAUCACUGGGCAUAAAGGGCGUGUAGGCGGGCUUUCAAGUCGGUUGUGAAAUCCCUCAGCUCAACUGAGGAACUGCAUCCGAUACUGUUUGUCUUGAGGACGAGAGGGGAGAGUGGAACUUCUGGUGGAGCGGUGAAAUGCGUAGAUAUUGGGAGGAACACCGGUGGCGAAGGCGGCCCUCUGGACCGGUACUGACGCUGAUGCGCGAAAGCGUGGGGAGCAAACGGG
rnacentral:rRNA from 1 species